UGCGUAGGCGGUUUGUUAAGUCUGCCGUGAAAGCCCCGGGCUCAACCUGGGAAUUGCGGUGGAUACUGGCAGGCUAGAGUACGGUAGAGGAUGGUGGAAUUCCCGGUGUAGCAGUGAAAUGCGUAGAGAUCGGGAGGAACAUCUAUGGCGAAGGCAGCCAUCUGGACCAGUACUGACGCUGAGGCACGAAAGCGUGGGGAGCAAACAGGAUUAGAUACCCUGGUAGUCCACGCCCUAAACGAUGCGAACUGGACGUUGGGCUCAAUUGAGAGCUCAGUGUCGAAGCUAACGCGUUAAGUUCGCCGCCUGGGGAGUACGGUCGCAAGACUGAA
rnacentral:rRNA from 1 species